ACACAGAAAGGAGUGACCUCUCCAACCUUCCGUAAAUCAUCAGAACACUGCAGGGUGACAGUGGGAACUCCAGAGAUUAAACACGGAGGUGAGGCUGGCCAGGGAUCACAAGAGGCCCAACACCCAGACAGUACGGAACCUGGGUGGGCACCUCGUCCGUUUUGUCAUCCACAGACCAGAGGCUUCUGCACUUCUGAUGACUCCAUCCAGAUCUCCAGCUUGUCCUGUGGACCCAUCCAUGCAGAAGCAGACUCGGCAGGCACAAGGACCAUUUUCCACACCCCUAUGAUUGCACCUCAUCCAAUCAGCAGCAGCCACUCCCUAGUCCCCAGCUCCCUCCAGAUUAUCCUUGAAAAACCCUAGCCUCUGGAUUUUGGGGGAGAUUGACUUAAGUAAUAAAAUUCCAGUCUCCCACUUAGCCAGCUCUGUGUGAACUAAACUCUUUCUCUAUUGCAAUUCCCAUCUUGAUGAGUCAACUGAGGUAAAGAGCAGCCUGGCUGAAGGUCAACAGCAGGGCUUUUUAAUCAGAUUCAUGCUGCCCCAAAAUAAUGAAACCCUGGAUCAGCUUCUUUUCCAAAUCUCGAGAAUACAGGCUCCUGGGCUGUGAAAUACAAUUUGAAAAUGUUUCUCUUCUAACAAAGAGUGCAAUGUCUUGAGUACUUUAACAUACUGUUUUCUGAAAUCUCACUGUUUGCUGGUAGGUAUCAAUGGCUUUGGUGUGGGGCAUCUGAUAUGUCUAUAUAAAGAAUCUCAUGCUGCCCCAGGAAAAAGCACAUAUGUCCACAUUUUUGUUUGAUUUUGUAAAGCUUAUUGUACAAGAUCAUAUUUUUGUUUUAGUAAAGAACAAAAAUGAAGUUUCAA
rnacentral:antisense_RNA from 1 species